rnacentral:rRNA from 1 species
UACAGGGGGGGCAAGCGUUGUUCGGAAUUACUGGGCGUAAAGGGCCAGUAGGCGGCCAACUAAGUCCGACGUGAAAUCCCAAGGCUUAACCUUGGAACUGCGUCGGAUACUGGUUGACUUGAAUUCGGGAGAGGGAUGCAGAAUUCCAGGUGUAGCGGUGAAAUUCGUAGAUAUCAGGAGGAACACCGGUGGCGAAGGCGGCUUCCUGGACACUUACUGACGCUGAGACGCGAAAGCGUGGGGAGCAAACAGG